rnacentral:rRNA from 1 species
UACGGGGGGGGCAAGCGUUGUUCGGAAUUACUGGGCGUAAAGGGCUCGUAGGCGGCCAACUAAGUCAGACGUGAAAUCCCUCGGCUUAACCGGGGAACUGCGUCUGAUACUGGAUGGCUUGAGUUUGGGAGAGGGAUGCGGAAUUCCAGGUGUAGCGGUGAAAUGCGUAGAUAUCGAGAGGAACACCAGUGGCGAAGGCGAGUCCCUGGACAACUCCUGACACUGAGGCACGAAAGCUAGGGGAGCAAACAGG